rnacentral:ncRNA from 1 species
GAAAUCGGUAGACGCUACGGACUUAAUUUGAUUGGGCCUUGGUCAAGAAAUUGACUAAGUGAUUGUUUCCAGAUUCGGGGAAACCUAGGUUGGAGAAAAACAUAAUAGGUAAUCCUGAGCCAAAUUUUGUUUACGAAAUACGAAAUAGGUGCAGAGACUCAAAGGGAACUAUCCGAUUGAAGAAACUAUAAUAUUUGAAGAUAGAUAUAAAUACCAUUAUUUAAUAAGUUAUUAUUAUAAAUCGUAUUAGAUAAGGAUAAAGAUAGAGUCCGUUUUUACAUGCUACAUUCAAUUAGCAACGAUGUAAAUCAUCG